rnacentral:tRNA from 1 species
UAUAUAUAAGUGUAUAGAUGCAUACAAAGUUUUGAUCUUUGAAGGUGUGGUUUAAAUCCAUGAUAUAUAA